AUGUUUUGAUGACUAAAGACUGGGACCGCAAUCCAGUCGCAUAAAGAUGGGCUCGUGUCCUAUCAGCUAGUUGGUGAGGUAAUGGCUCACCAAGGCUUUUGACGGGGUAGCUGGUCUGAGAGGAUGGUCAGCCACACUGGGACUGAGACACUGCCCAGACUCCUACGGGAGGCUGCAGUCGAGGAUAUUUAGCAAUGGACGAAAGUCUGACUAUGCGACGCCGCGUGAGGGAUGAAGGUUCUCGGAUCGUAAACCUCUUUUGUCAGGGAAGAACAUGUUCAAUCUAAUAAGUUGAAUAUUGACGGUACCUGACGAAUAAGCCACGGCCAACUCCGUGCCAGCAGCCGCGGUAAUACGGAGGUGGCAAGCGUUACUCGGAAUCAUUGGGUGUAAAGGGCAAGUAGGCGGUCUAUUAAGUGAGGGGUGAAAUCUUCCGACUCAAUCGGAAAACUGCCUUUCAAACUGGUAGACUUGAGGUAGGAAGGGGGAAACGGAAUUCCAGGUGUAAGGGUGAAAUCUGUAGAUAUCUGGAAGAACACCGGCGGCGAAGGCGGUUUCCUGGUCCUACCCUGACGCUGAAUUGCGAAAGCUAGGGGAGCAAACAGAAUUAGAUACUCUGGUAGUCCUAGCCGUAAACGAUGAGUACUAGGUGUUGGUCCUUCUGGGAUCAGUGCCGCAGCUAACGCAUUAAGUACUCCACCUGAGGACUACGGUCGCAAGGCUAAAACUCAAAGG
rnacentral:rRNA from 1 species